rnacentral:rRNA from 1 species
AGAUGGCGACCGGCGCACGGGUGGGUAACACGUAUCCAACCUGCCGAUAACUCGGGGAUAGCCUUUCGAAAGAAAGAUUAAUACCCGAUGGUAUAAUCAGACCGCAUGGUCUUGUUAUUAAAGAAUUUCGGUUAUCGAUGGGGAUGCGUUCCAUUAGGCAGUUGGUGAGGUAACGGCUCACCAAACCUUCGAUGGAUAGGGGUUCUGAGAGGAAGGUCCCCCACAUUGGAACUGAGACACGGUCCAA